GGAAGAGGCGGGGCCUACCCUGAGUGACGGCGUGGGGCCGAGCGCUACCUGCUCCCUCCACCGGGCUGGGCACCGGCCGCCGAGCCCCGACUCAUCCGCCGCGCCAGGACCGCCCGUGCGAGACGCGCGGUGCCGGCGGCGCAGCGCGAGGGCCGGUAAGGCUGCGGCGGUACCGGACCUAGGCUCGGGGCGUGGCCGCGCGGGAGCCGCCUGACGCCAUAUCCGGCGGGCGGGGGUUGGAGCGCGGACCCGGCGCGCUGCCCGCCGCGGGGGUCGUACCGCGCCCGCUGUCGGUCGAGGGGCGGCCGCUGUCGGUGGAACGAGUGGGAAGUUACGCCUGGUGGCGGCUGCUCGCCGCCCCCCGCGGCGGCCUGUCGCGGCAUCCCGCGCCUCCGUCGAAAAAAAAAAAAAAAAAAAAAAAAAAAGAAAGCAAGCCACCGCGGGCUAUGGGGGAGCUGCCCGGCUGCCGCCAUCUUGAGGCGGGGAGUAUGGCGCGGGUCGAGGCGGGUCGGUUGCGGCCAUCCGGCGUGGUCUCAGCCGGCCGUCUCUGGCGAGGCGUUGGGCCGCAGUGGGGCCGAUUGCUUGGGGCCCCGUCGGUCUCCCUCCAUCCGCCUCAUCUCGGUCCCGGCCUCGAGCUGUGCGCAGCCGGUGGGGCUGGGGCGGUCGUGAGUGCAGAACAGAGCGGUUGAGUCCACCCUGCCAACAACCCCGCGCCUCUGCUGCGUUGGGAUGUGUGUUUAGGGGACAGGCGAGAUGGAGAUUGAGGCCGUUUUCUGGCCGUAUACAGUUCCAGCACAUCCAGUGGGUAGUGCAGUGUUCCUUUGUAGCCCUGAUACAUCCCCACCUGCAGCUCUUUGCUAGCUUGUGAAGUGUCUUUGCAUAGCUCCUGCAGUCUAUGGCCAGCAGUGCUUGCCUGUUAGCUAUGGAAGGCACGUAGUUAAUUGAGUUCUAUGCACCCUUCCAUGUCCCUUCAUCUUACUAUUAUCUAUACACAGCUUCACAAUUGACAUUUCUCAUACCAGUCCCUAUAACUACCUCCUAUUUGCCUCACAAACCCUACAACUACUCCAUUACAGCUGUCCCUAGAGACUGAAAUUGUCCUUAAAUACUGAACAGAAGUAUUUUCAACCCAUGAAUAGCUGUACUAUGAUUUCUGAGGCCCAGUGUAACCAUCAUAGCUCUAACAAUUGCCUAGAAAAAAUUACUGGGAAAUCUGAAAAUAUGUAAAAAUCAAACCUGAAUCAACAGAGCAUUAUGUCUACAACAGAAUAAUUUUGAAUAGUAGAAUGGUGCAGUUUUACAGAUGGAACUGGAUCUUUUUAUGGGGAAACUAGUCUGAAAUGCUAUAGCAGUAAUGACACCGUUUGGCUAUUCAACCUUUGAAUCUCUGGGUGAUUGAAGUGCUUACCUUCACUUAUCUAUGACAGUAGCCUUGUCAGUCAGAAACACUGAGAUACAACCAUAAAAAGUCUAAUAAAAAUAGAUAGUGUCAUCUUAUAUAGUUCAUUUGAAGGCAAACUGUAUUUCAGUAGACAUCUCUCACCCUAUCUAUCCAGCAAAUAAAAGUUUUUUUAUUUAGGUGGUAAUGCACUGAAAGCUUGGAGGAUUUGUGCUUUCAUUGACUUCUCAAUUUCUUGUGAGCAACAUGGAGGACUGAGGGGACACUGAGUAAUUUCAGAAAAGAAAAAAAAAAAAAAAAAAAAACAUUGCUGGAAGGAUGUGACUAAUUCCAUGGUAAUGCUUUACCAACUUUCAUCCUAUCCAUGCUGGUAAAGAAAGUUUUCGUUUCGAGGAUUUUAAUACUUGAUAUUGUAUUAUCCUUUCUCUUAUGUCAGGUUGUUGCUUGCAUGCAUAUUUGCUUUGCUAGGUGAACAGGGUGACCUGUCAGUAAGUUGAAGGAUAAAAUCUCUUGGCUGUUGGUUUGUGUUCUUAAAUCAUGGAACUUUGAACUUUUUGAUUGAAAAAUCAUAUCAAACCUAGUCAGGCCUUGGCAUAAGUGUAAUAUAUAUAUAUAUAUACACAUUUGUUGCUACCCUUGAGUUAAUGUGUUUGCAGAAUUUUUAAAUCUAUAUUAACAUCUCAGUCUCUAAAUACAUCAUCACUCGCUAUGUCAGGAGGGUCAUAGCUUCUUUUGUUACUGGGAAAUUGUUGAAUCACUUCAAUGUUUUGACCCUUUCAUCUAUGAAGUUUGUUUGCAGAGCUGUCUGCAUUACUCAACUGGGGCCUAACAGAGACUGAAGUUCUGCUUCAAAACAUUGCAAAUACAUAUAUGUAGAUUUUUCUCAAAUUUCAGAAUUUGAAUUUUUGGUCUUUAUCAAAGUACACAUCUCAUCUUAAUAUUUGAAGAAAUGUCAUUUUUCCUUAGCAACAGUUACAUAUUUCUAGAUAAUCAGUAGAAACACUAAAUCACUUCAUUUGGCUACUGUAACUAAUGAUAGUAUUAAACAACCUUUCAAAUUAAAAUAUGAAAAAAUCUUUUCAUUAGAAGUAGUGCUAAAAAACUUUGUAAUUUUUAUUUAGAGCAAGAUACACUGUAUUUCUCAAAAUAAUUUUAUGGCUUUGCACACAGACAAGUGAAAAUCAAAAUAAUUAACAUUUUUCAACAGUGAAUUAAAAUAAGAUUAGACAGACAUCCCCUGUACUUUGAAAAAUCUCACUUUUUGCUUUCAGACUGAAAACUUCAACAAUUCUACAAAUAAUUGUUUCUAUAUGAAGGAAUUUAUAGUGAAAUCUCUUAGGUAGAGAAAAAUAACAGAGAAGAUGCUACUCCUAUCAUUUUUUUUUCUGAUUAUAGCUUUUAAUGACAUCACUUUUGGAUCUUCAGCAGAAUUACAUUCCUAUCCCUCCCUUCUUCUCAGAGAAGAAUUCACUGAGAGCAGCCUUGGGAAAAAGGACUUGGAUGUCUUAGUGAAUGAAAAGCUUGGUGUGAACCAGCGGUGUGUUCUCGCAGCCCAUACCAACAGCAUCCUGGGCUAGCCAUUCCUCAUAGUACCUGUGGUGGUUUUAAACUAAAAAAGCAGAGAUUUAGAUUAGCUAACAGGAGAGAAGUUUUCACUCAGAGGAUGAUGAGGCGUUGGCACAGGCUGCUCAGAGAAGCUGUGGUUGCCCCAUCCCUGGAGAUGCUCAGGGCCAAGUUGGAUGGGGCCAUGAGCAGCCUGAUCUAGUGAGUGGCAACCUUGUCUAGGGCAGGGGUUUGGAACUAGAUGGCCUUUAAUGUUCCUUCCAACCCAAGCCAUUCUGAUUCUGUGAUUCAGGGCUUUUCUGAAAUAAAGAAUACUACAGAGCUUGGCCAUUUCUAACAAGGUCAUAAUUAAUCCAUCUGGUAUUUCAUACAACAAAGUCCAUUCUUUUUUUGUUAAAUCUGCUUCAUAUUUUUUUUACAUUUCUAAAUAGUUUUCAGAUAUAUUUUGUCAUUUGUGGCAUAUCUAAGAAGUACCACAACACAUUCCUCUCAGCCGUACUGUGCAGAACAAUUAUCCAUGUAUCUUAUGAAAUAGCAUAAAGGCAAGGCAAAAUACUAAAGUAGAUAAGAGCAUUUGAACUGUUUCAGACCAAGGAUACAUCUUCCCAGUUCAUAGAAGUGCAUGCCUAAAGAAGUGCAAGAACAAGCACAUACAUGUAUUUCACUAGGUAUCUUUGCCACUCUGUGUCUCGGGGAUUUUCUAAAACCUUCAUAAUCUGUCAUUAUUGUAAUAUUCAGAGAAUUUCUUCCAAGAAUUUGUCAAGUCUCCCAUAAAACUCCUGCACUGACACCAUGUUUUAUCAAGAAGAGCUAUGCUGUAAGAAUAAAUGCUGUAUAGUAAAUGCUGUAUGAAAAAUAAAAGCCAUUUUGCAUUCUUUGAAGUCUAGUUGUUGUCUUCUGUCUUUUUUUGUUCUAGUGAAUACUCACCAUGGGGAGAAGGUGAAGAGGAUAUGUCUAGAUGUUAUAAAGAAUUAGGCAGCUUAGUACAGAAGUAUAGGCUAUGCUGUGUGGCUGCUUGUCAUGUUUCUUUGAUUACCCGUGUAAGUAGACAAGAACAUAGUUCUACUUAAGUAAAUUAGUUGUUAUUAACUGAUAAGUAAAUACUAUUAAACGCCUAUGCUUUCUUAUAGCCAUAACAAGUCCCUCACUGACUCUUGAGCAUUUCGUCUCCCUCACGAUGCCCUCCUGAUUUGGCACUCUGGAUACCUGUAGUCCAGCUAUGUGUAAUAGAAGUUCUCUGAAUGCCUGUUAAUAUAUUGGAUUUUUAUAGGUUCAGGUGGUAUUAGCUUGGUCCAUAAUCUCAGUUUCUUGUUCAUGUGAACAGUAUUUCCUUUUUAUGCUGAUUUUUCUUCUUCUAUGGAGUCCUUGCCAUUUGCUUGGGACUAAUGUCUAUGUCGGUCUGUACCAGGUAGGUGAGGAAUGGGGACUUCUUUGUCGCUUGGGGAUCGACUGCCAGUGCAGCCUGCAUGUUUGACCCUGAGGGUGAAAGCUGUUGGCCACGCUGCCUCUCUGGCCAGAAGAAUCAGUGGGUAUAUCCACGCUGUGGUUUCUCAGCAAUUUGGACACUUCUGCGAUACUGCUCUGGAAGUCCUGGGUUCUGACAAAGAUGAGUUUGUGUCUUUUCCACUGUACCCUAGCUUCCUGUCCUCUCAUCAGCAAUUGGUGAGACCACCAGUAGCUGACUGUCAGUUUGAUAUCUUGCUAAUACUCUCUCCACACAGUUUUACAACAAAUGUGCUUUCCAGGAAUCCCUCUUUUUUUUUUCCCAUAAGGCACCCUGUUGACAAUUCUGAGUCAGAAGACAUUGACAGUACUAUCAUUUUCAGGGAUAAGGAAGGUACAAGAUGGCAAGAACUGGAGGCUCACAGUGAAAAGCAAACAUAAAACUGAUGACAGCUGGCUUUAUGUGCAUGAGAAGCACUCUGAAAAGUGUCAUACACUCUACAUUUUUAGAUCUUUUGGCUGGUACCUCUGUACUUGCUACACACUAGUGGGAGGAUUUAACAGAGGUGUAGCCCUCCAGCUGUGUUUAGGCCCUAGUAUCUGUAUUAACAAUGUAAUAUGCACAUGCUUCCAGUUUUCUUGUAUUGGAAAGGUGCAUUGAAAAGGGAAGUGAAAUUUCCGUGCACCAAAACUGCACUGUGAAAAGAAUAAAAGCACAACAAGUGGGGAUAAUAAGAGAUUUGCCUUGGCCGUGCACUGCUGGUAUGAGAGAAAAUGCUAUAGCAGUCAUACCCUUAGUUUGGAAACCUGACACAUUAAUCAGUUUUUAAUGUGUGUUACAGUUUGGUUACAUUAAGUUCCUUAUGGACCAGUAUCAAGCACAGCAGUAUCAAUAAUGAUUUUUAUAAUGACAUUAAUAUAAAUCCCCACUGCAGUUUUUUGCAUCUCUUGAGUAAUAACAGUCCAGUAAACAAGGCAGUCAUCAUUCUUCACUAUAUGGUAUAACAAAUGUGAAAUCACUGUGUAGGUGUAUGUUAGACUACAUUAUAUUGUAAACAAACAAAUACAGAUUAUUUUUUGGUUGCAAGGUGAAAUUUGAGAUUAUGCUAGCCACUGAGAAUCCACUUUUCUAUGUAAAAAUGUGGCAGUGCCAGAGCCUCCUGAUUCUAAGCAGUUUUGUACAGAUAUCAGAGAAGGCAUCCAGCUGUCUGGCUUCACGUCAGGCUUUAAAAUUUCUCCCUUAUGAGCUAAAAGGCAGAAGAGUGAGGGUUGGAUGGAAUUAUCCCCUUGUUCUGUUCUGAUUAAUUCAAUCCACUGCAGAAAGUGACGAAGGAUAAAGUAAUUAAUUGUUCACCUGGAGCUGGUUAGGAAUCGUUACUUUCUUGCACUCUGGUGUCCUGUGGGAUCAGUGUAUGUACUUAUCUUUACCACACUGUGGCUGGACUUCGUAACUACUGUGAUGACCGAAUGAGCAUUGCCCUUUCUAUGAAAACAGCAACAACAAAACCAGUUAGCUGAAGUAGAAAAUAAAUGUCAUUUUGGGAAUGCAACUCACAGCAGUCUUUGUGAAAACUCUAUUACCAUCUUCACUGUGAACACAUAAUUUUUUUACAUUUUUGGGGGACUGUCCACUCUGAAGAACAUAUGCCUAGUAGAUCUUCAUUUGUAUUCAGCAUGUGGUUAUAAAUCAAAUCACCCACUUGUUUACAAAGAUUCAUAUUUUUUUGUUGAAGCCAAAUGGGAAUACUUCUUUGCUACACUGGACUAGAGUAGACCAGUAUAGGGUCUUUUGGUCUAGCCUUUGCAAACAGCAGCCUGUGUUUGUGUUUUAAUGCUUUUAAUAUAGAUUCAAAUGCUAUCAAACAGAUAGUUUUAUGAAACAAAGCAAAACAAAAAAAAACUGUGCAGUGGGAGAUAUAGUAUAUGAUCAAGGGCAGUGUGGCCUGCCUUUGACAUAAGUAUGUUCAGUUUUGCAUGGCACUCUUUUCCCCCAUUGCAGUGAGCCUAGAGAAAAACGUAUAUUCAGCCUCUCGUGUAUUUUCAUUCCUUUCUUAAUUUGUUUGCUCAGAUCUGACAAACUCAAAACCUCUUACAUACUAAAUCUCAGAAACUGUUGCAAUUCUGUGUACUUUUGCAUUUUGGUAGUAUCUUAACAUGAGAGGUGUAUCAAAAGACUCAGGAGUGUAUGGCCCCUUCUGUGUAGGCAGAAUCUUAUUUACUGGACAUUCUGUGAAGGUCUUGAGUUCAUUUUCACUGUCAUGUGACACCUCUGAUCAGCUAGAGGCACCACUGUUUUAACAACCACAAGCAUGAAGUCUUUCUGUGCCAACAAUAUCUAAUGACCUUACACAGCAAAAGACCCCUAACAGUGUGGGAGCAUCUGAGCCAUCUCAGGUGUGCAGAGAACCCUCACCAGCCUGCUAGCAACAGUACCAUUGGUAGGACCAGCCAAGAGCAUGGGGUGACAACGUAGCGGGCCCUGGACAUACUUGGGUUAGUUAAGGCAAAGGUCAGAACUCAAGGAGAAAAGUGAAUGAACAAGAAAUGUGGCUUAGGCAGCCAUUAGAAUGAAGAGUCAAUAAGACAUUUUGGAGUUGUUCUUUGGGGUCAUCUUUUUUUAUUUUUGUUUUUGCUUGCUUACCCCAAACACUGAGUUUGCUCAAAGCAUGUGAUGCAUAAAAUGCAAGACUACCCCUACUGCAAGGGCUCCUCUAUCAAAGUAUCAUUGUGGGGUUUUUUUUACAAGUUUAUACAAUUUUACUGUGUUACAAUCUGUUAAACACCCUUCCAUAUUUGCACACUUGCACAUUUUAAUAAAAAAUGUUUUCCUCUCAUGUUUUCCUGGAAUUUAAUGCAACACUUGAUGAAGAGUAUAAAGUAGAGGUUUUUUUCAAAAAUUGAGAGAUGUAAAAAAUUUAAAUGUUACUAGUUUCUGGUGGUCACUUUUUUUUUCCUUUCUAAUGAGAGUCAUCAAAAAGAUGCCUCUGAAAUAUAAAAGUUAACUUUGGACAUUUGAGUCUUGAAGAUUUUAUGGAAAGAGUAAAGAAAAAGAAUUUAUUUUUAAAAAGAUAACUUAAAGUCCUUUCAAUUCAUUAUGCUUGGGAAUUACUUGAAAUAACUAAAUUACUCAAAUAAGGAAAUAAUGUGCUUAGAAUUAAGUUUAAACAUUUGGUUACUCAUACAAGAAUUUUUUUGAGAUGAAAAUAUACAAUAUUAAUUGUAGUCUUAUUAGAAUGUAAUUUUAUUCUUCACUUAGAAGAAAUAACUGAAAAAAAAAACUCUUUUGAACUAAUGAUUGAUGAAAAUGGUUGAAAUAAUGUUGCAGAUUAUGAACUAGUGAUUGAUGCUCAUGUUAAUAUGAUUAUGAAUAAGCUAUGUACUGUUGGUAAGAGAUUUUUUACAGUAUUAGUCACGUUUCUGUUUUCUGAAGAAGUGCAGGAUGCCUGCACUUACCAAUUCAUUAUAUCAAGCACAGACAAAUGAAAAAAUAAAUCAUAACCCUAAGUGUGAUAAUUUAGUAGAUAAUUCCCAUAAAACUUUUAUAUUACUAUAUUCAUUGAGCUGUUGUUUUCUAAACAUAAACAUAAAUUUCAGAUCCUGUUCAUUCUUGCUGAGCAUUAACUGCUAUAUGCCAGCUGAGGUAUUUUCUUAAUCUGUUGUGAAUCUUAGAAAUCCUAUUGCACUUCAGAACUUGGUCUGUGUUUCAGAAGGUAUUAAAAGCAAUAUAUGUAUAAAUUGCAGUCUUACUUUUCAACACUUCUAAGAAAACCAUGAGUUGAAUUUCUGAAUUUUGUUCAAGGUUUUAGAUGAACACAUUUUAAAAUUAUCAUGGUUAAAUGCAUGUGUCAUGAAUUAGAAUUAUUUUAAGUAACUGUAGCAUGUUUUGUCUUUUAUUUUUGGCAAGAUAUAGAGGGAACUGUAAAAUCUAGAUUGUGCAUAUUGCUCAUUGCCAGCUUCAGUGUCUCUUCAAAUACAACAUUAUCAUCCAAAGGAGAAUAAAUACUGUUUUUGAAAAUAAGAGAACAGAACCAUCAAGUGCAAAGAUUUUAUCCAGAAUCACACACUGGGCCAUUAGAAGAACAAGAAAUUUGCAUCCUCGUGUUCAGAACUAUGAUUGGAAUAUCUGACUUCUGUGUCUUGGAUGCUGCUGCUGCAUCUAGCGGUUGAGUUGUACAGCAAAGGAAGGCUUUAUGGCAGUGUGCAAAGAUUAGGCAUGGGAUGUCCCAGUAUCCUCAGCCACACAUUUUGUAUGUAAAGACUGCCACACAGAAUCCUUCUAUUAUGCCAUAUAAAAUGCCAGAUCAUGACCAAAAGAGAGGUAGACAAAGCAAAAUCAGUAAAGGAGAGAUUUAUUGGAAUGACCGAAACAGUGAAGAAAUGCAGAGAGAGGUAGGAGAAGUCUCAGUACAGCCAACAAAAGCUCAGUGUGUCUGAUUUAGGUAAAUGAUGGGGUUCCACGUGAGUCUUUCCAUUUUUCAUAGCAUGGGAGUGUGGCAGAGGCCUGGGAGGCCAGGGAGGAGGAGGGCUCAAGAAGCUGUAAUUUGCAAUCUGUGUGAUAAGUCUGCACUGAUCCUGACUUCACAGAACCAGCUGAGAAGCUUCUAGGGGUCAACUAAAUGCAGUCUUUCAGCCUACUCCUGGUGUUUCCCCUGCAACAUGAUCUUCUUCCAAUUACUCCUCUGUUACAUUUUAAUAUUAUGUUUAUCAUAACAGAAAACUGUUUGGCCACAGAUGUGAAAUCAGUAAUAAAACAAUUAGCAGAGGCAUGCUUUCAUUUCCUUUACAGUAUUAAAGUGAAUGGUAGUCCCAUAUUUAAGGGUAAAGGCCAUGAUUUGAUAUUAAAAUGAAAAGAGGCAAAGUAGUUAAAUUAAGCACCAGCAGUCACCAGGGAGCCUGACCUCUGCAGUGUUAGAUGGAGAUUUGUGAGCUAACUGGCAUUAUACUCGGUGGGCUCACGUCGCAGAAGAGCAUCACAACAAAACUGUAAUCAAUCCUACUAAGACUCAGAUAUGUGUAUUUUAAAGCACUAGUGUAAUUCAGCACAGUAUUAGUAUUAUUGUGUUUCAAGUGAAAAUAAAAUCACAGCUGCAGAACUAAGCCUUCAGAUCUUUUUGAUUGUACAAAUGAUUUUUUUUUUUUUUUUUAUGAAAAUUGGAAAAAUCCUUACUUAAGACUGAUCUAAAAAAUAUUUGGCUUUCCUUCCACGUUUAAAUAAAGGAAUUUAUCUUUAAACCUUUUCUAAUGCUGUUUUUUGGCCUGAAAGCACUUUUGACUUCCCUCAGGAUUGUUUGUUUAUUUGUAGCAAAGCAAGACCUAUCCCUCCCAUGUAAAAACAUAACAUUACAUUGUAUUUUAAUUGCAGUCAGAGAAUACAUCUAGUAAGAUUACUUUCAUUUCUAGAUGUCUGUAAUUGAUUCUAGAAUUAUGCUUAAAGAAUUUAUAAUGUUCUUCAACUCUGAAUGUAUAGUAUCACCUUAUCAGAAAUGUUCAUAGCACACUGCUAACUAUUACCCAGCCUUACACAACCAUUCACAAACAGGCUAAAUAUGGAAACGAGGUUCCGUUGUGAAGCAUGAUAUAAGCAGGUAACAGUAUGGUAAUAAAUUAAGCUUCUAUAUGAAUGCAGUUAACCUUGUCAAUUAAAAUUGAAACUUAGGGAACCAUCACCCUCUGCUCAUUAUGCUCAUUCUAGCUGCUACAAAAUAUCUGUUACCAACAAAGCAGGUUGGUCUUGUGUGGAGCCAGAUGUUGGACUCCAUAAUCCUUGUGGGUUUCUUCCAAUCUGGGAUAUUCUGUAUUUCUAUGGUUAGAUUUAUCCAAAUUUUUCAGGUAUGACUGUACUAAUUUUGAUCUGCUAGUAUUUGAAAAAAUACUACUAAAAUACUAUUAAAAUACUCUGAAAAAAGGAAAGUGAAUAAAACAGAGUUUUAAGAGAAUACUGCCCUAGUUUCAGAUAUUUAUCAUUAUCAUUCUGAAUAAUUUAAUGUACAAAUUUUAAAUUGACUUUUUUCAAGACAGCAGUUCUACAAAGGACACUUAGCUAUUGAACAAUAAUGAAUAAAGAGCUCCACACAUUUCCUCAUCUGCUUUUGCAAUUGUUGAAAUAAAAACAACAAAAGAGAAAGAAAAUGUUAUUUUGUGUAGCACUGGGCCUUACAACAAAGGCUUUUGGAAUUAUUAAGUUUGAUUUCCUUAACCAAAAUCUUCCUCAUUGCUGAUCACAUUUUGCUAGAUCUCUCCUCUUGAGAUUGGUCCUAAAUAAUGGAGAAGAUACUUAACAGAUGCUUAAGUAGGGCCUGUGCCUUUGUAUUAUCAGUGUUACAGAACUGGCUGAGCCAUGUCCCCCAAAGUCACCUGCUGUCAGCUGGUGACUUGUGGUACCAGCUCCAGCAUCUCCCUGGCAGAAGAAGUGGAGAGACGUGCAGAAAAAGUUCUCUUUUUUGUCUUGACUUGCUGCCCACGUUUGGAUUAAUAGCUAUAAGGAUGUUACUGUAGGGUUCUUGAUUCAAAGGGAUACAUUUAACAAGUAGCUACACAACUUCUGAAAUAGAAGAGAAAUGCAUGCUGGCUGUGUAAACUAAAUAACCAUCUAAACAAACUGAAUGUGGUAAGUCAGUGGCCUCAUAGAGUGACUUUGAUGUGUCAUCUUGUCCUUCUGACACUUUCAGUAAUUACUAGUUGGAUUGAGGUUAAAUGUAGAACAGAAGUUUCUUGUCAAAAGUGAGCAACUCUUGGAGUGUACUCAAAAACAAAAGUAAAGGUAUGUCUCCUGGGCUGAAAGGAGCCAUCUGUGGUACAGCUACUAAUCUUUUGAUGUUUCAUGAAAUCUGUUUUGGCUGGAAACUCUGCUGAAAGAAGCUGGUGCCCCUAGUUCUGAAGGAUUCAUGAGAAGAGCCAAAACUUGUUAUGAUUAAAAGAGAUGGCAAAGAUGAUCAGAAACAGUGUUCAUUGGCUGUGACAGAGCUGUUGCUCUGUAGUGUUGUUUUUCCUUUUAAAGAGGAUAGCUUUAAGAAAAAUAAUAGCAAUGCUAUGUAGUUCUCAUUGCUUCUGAUCUCAGCUGGGCCAGGCUUUGGGUAAGUGAUGUUGUAUUGCCUGUAGGUCUUACUGUCAUGAACGGGCACCUCAUAAACCCUGUCCUGUGUGGAAUGGUGCAUGUAAGUGUUCAGCAAAACAAAUAGAAGGUGUCUUACCAUGUUUCCCAAACCUAAGCAGAUGAAUGACACUCUGAAGUUGGUAUGAUCAACCCUACACCUUUGCAGUCUUGAGCGCUGGACUAACUGCUCAGAGCUGCUUUCAAGCACCAUCUGUUGUCACAUGAUUCUGCAUGCCAGAUCCUCAUAAAAAAGUCUUUCUUGGUUUUAGAAACUGAAGAGUGAAAAAGUUAUUAGAAGAUUUCAAACCAAGGGAACUGAAUAUGUAAUGAGCACAAUGAAUUAAAGAAGCAUUCUAUGCUCUCUGCUUUUCAUAGCCAUGGAUUGAACACUCCUCUGCAUUAAGAUAAGAAUUUUUCUCUUUGCAUGGAACAAUAAAGAAAUCUUCAGUGA